GGAUGUGAGGGUGAUCUGGCUGCAACAUCUGUGACUCCACUGAUGGCCAGAGUUGGUUCAGCUGAUCUGGCUUGGCAAGUGGUGUCCCUUCCUUCACUAUUCCACGUGUGUCCUUCCCAAAACUGUACAUUCUGUCAAAGAUGACAACCACCCCGAUUCCUUGGUCAAGGGUAUAGGAGUAGUUGCAUUCCCCUGUUAGAACCUCCAAAUAUGCUCUUAAGAAAAGUAUGGCCAAUUACUUGGGAUGAAGUUUUGGACAUUUCAGACUCAGUGCAUUCCCCAUUCUAUCAAGAUUUG
ensembl:misc_RNA 7SK 7SK RNA